GCAAAAUCGCCUAAUAUGAUAUAUAACUAUGUUUUCGAGAUAGCAAUUACAAUAACACUUCAACCUCAAUUAAGUGUUGUGCAAAACAUGUUGCAACUAUUUGUGGGACUUAUUUUUUCACUGGAAUGCAAAUGCAUGUAUUGAAAAUAUUUCUUACUAAGAUAUGGGAAUUGCUCUUUUUUCUGACUGCAUGGAUAUCUUUAGCUCUGUUCAUGCAUUCUAGGUUUUGGAGUGAUGAGUGCCUGAUAUCCUACAGUUAAUGAUAUGGUUAUAUUCUAGGAUUCUUGUCUCUUUUCAUCCUUAAUUAACUUCAUUUUAUCAUAUGAAUUUCUUUCACUUCAUAGUCCAUAUAACCACCAUAUACGUGAUUAUUAAUUGUUUCUUUUUGAACAUCACUGCAGUAUAACAGUUUCUUUGUCUGAUAAUUGCACCAUUUAAAGUUUUGUAAUCUGGUUUCACGGAUGAAAAGCUGAUGCAAUUUUCAGGAAAUUCCUAAGAUUAUCCCCUAGCCACAUGCAACCAAUACAAGCCAUACUCCUAACGUGUUACAGUCUGCUAUAUGAAUCCUUUUCUUUCAAUUUACCUAGCUAAGACCAUAUUCAGCUCCAUAGAAUGUCACUACACUCUUAUGUGGACUGUCAACCUGUUGAACCAUCUUCUUGUCUGUGCUCUAGACUGGCUGUAAUGAGUUAUAUGACAUUUAAGCAAGUGACAGACAGAUUUGGUCCCUUUUCUAUCUACAAUAGAAGAUAAAGUGCUCCACUCCUU
rnacentral:misc_RNA from 1 species